UAGGGAAUAUUGGUCAAUGGGCGCAAGCCUGAACCAGCCAUGCCGCGUGCAGGAUGAAGGCUCUCUGAGUUGUAAACUGCUUUUGUACAGGAACAAAAAAAUCCCUGCGGGGAUUCUUGAGGGUACUGUAAGAAUAAGCACCGGCUAAUUCCGUGCCAGCAGCCGCGGUAAUACGGAAGGUGCAAGCGUUAUCCGGUUUUAUUGGGUUUAAAGGGUGCGUAGGCGGCUUAUUAAGUCAGUUGUGAAAUCCUAGUGCUUAACACUAGAACUGCGAUUGAUACUGAUAGGCUUGAGUCAAGAAGAGGUAAGUAGAAUUUAUGGUGUAGUAGUGAAAUGCUUAGAUAUCAUAAGGAAUACCAAUAGCGUAAGCAGCUUACUGGUCUUGAACUGACGCUGAGGCACGAAAGCGUGGGGAGCAAACAGG
rnacentral:rRNA from 1 species